CCUACGGGUGACAGCAGUCGAGAAUCAUUCACAAUGGGGGAAACCCUGAUGCAGCGACGCCGCGUGGGUGAAGAAGUAUUUCGGUACGUAAAGCUCUAUCAGCAGGGAAGAAAAAAACUCCUUUGGACUUUGGACGGUACCUGAACAAGAAGCCCCGGCUAACUACGUGCCAGCAGCCGCGGUAAUACGGAGGGGGCAAGCGUUAUCCGGAUUUACUGGGUGUAAAGGGAGCGCAGACGGCAGUGCAAGUCUGGAGUGAAAGGCCGGGGCCCAACCCCGGCACUGCUUUGGAAACUGGGCGGCUGGAGUGCAGGAGAGGUAAGCGGAAUUCCUGGUGUAGCGGUGAAAUGCGUAGAUAUUAGGAGGAACACCAGUGGCGAAGGCGGCUUACUGGACUGUAACUGACGUUGAGGCUCGAAAGCGUGGGGAGCAAACAGGAUUAGAUACCCCUGUAGUA
rnacentral:rRNA from 1 species